GAAGGGCAGACAUCUCUUUGGCAGGACGUCUGGAACAUGGACAGGGAUCUGAAUGAAGAUGACACCCCUGUCAACCAUCACUCUACUUUGUGUGUGUGAGUUUGACCACCUGAAUCUUUUUGGCACCAUCUCAAGUAUAAUUCAAAUCACGAGGCAUUUGUGCAUAUCGACAAUACACCCAUCGUGGUGUGGUGGACCUCAGUUUUGAGGCCGAGAGUCCUCUGGCGCCCCCCACAGAGCUCCUGGAGAGACUGCCCAGCUAUGACUGGCUUCUUCAAGGGGGCAGAGGACAGAUAUUCUUCCCACCUUUGGAGGCCCCAGGGAGGCCCCAGGAGCAAAGGUCCUGGCCCUCGUUCCUGGAACACAGGAAAACCUGCCCCGUUCUCACGCUGGGCACCCGUUCACAUGGUCCCCUUUGCAGGAGAUGCCCUCCCCAGUUGGACUGCUGAGGGCUUUACCACUACCGUGGCCUCAGUUUCUCG
rnacentral:lncRNA from 1 species